rnacentral:lncRNA from 1 species
AUUUUACUAAAAAGACUUUAGUUUAUCCUCAUUACUAAUAAUGUUUUUGUUCUUGAUUUUACAUAGAUGCUACUUACCAUUUUAAGAGAAGCUUCAUUUACAUCUCUACUUUCUAGGUUUUUUUAGACAAGAAAGAGUAAAAAAGAAACAAACAAGAAUUGGUGGGGGUUUUGCCUAAAGCUUUUUUUAAAUCUAAAGAAAUUAUCAUAAGGUUUUUGUUGUUUUUCUUGUUGAUAUUAUCAAUUAUAUUUAUAGUUUUCCUAACAUGGAAUCAGCCCUGAAUUCCUGGUGUAAAUCCAGCUUAAUCAUAGUGUAUAUUUUUGUGAUAGGUUGUUUUAAUCUCUUUACUACUAUUUUAUUUAAAAAAUUUAUAUCAAUAUUAAUUAGAGCAAUUGAUCUGUACUUUUCUUUCUCUGUUUUGUCUCUCUCUGGUUUAGAUAUCAAGAUCAUAUUUAUCUCACAGAAGGAAUUUGCUGCCUGCAGUGUUUGUUCCUUGACUUGGAAACCUCUGGAUUGUGCAGUGUUUUUCGCUGGUGCACCUGCCUGAAAUUUUCAAGCCGGUCCAACUCGGGAGAAGCUGCUGGACCUUGUUCUACCGUUGAUCUGCGGCAGAGAACAUCCCCAACUUCUCGUUAGCGGCAGCGGCAGCGGCAGGCGUCCAGGGUUCUUGGGACUCUGGUAUCACCUUGACUUUUGUGUUGUAUUUUGUGCCACUGUCUGUAGUUCCUGUGAUCUUGGGCCUAGUGGGUGUAUCUUGCUUUGACCCAUCUCUCUCUGAGCAAGUCAGGGUUCCC